CACCCAUGUCAUAUAGCUCUUGCCCGAAAUUUCAAGGGCAACGAACUUUCUUUUUAUAAUGUUAGACAUAAAACAAAAUUACAUCAAGAGCGUGUCCGUACUUACGGGCUUUAUUACAAUUGUCACAUUCACUUCAGGGAAUGGAUCAUAAUCAUCUGUAUAUGCUAUAUACAAUCUCAUGUCAAAUAUUACUUUCAUAAAGUGAAAGAUUAUUUUGAGAAUCUUUAUUAUUCUCAUUAUCACAAUGAUGACGAUUAUAANN
rnacentral:lncRNA from 1 species